rnacentral:sRNA from 1 species
AUAACGAAACAUAAGUCACAGUUCCGCCUAAGUUCAGCCCUUGGAAGACCCCAAAACUCGCUAUGAUUAUGCAUGUUGCCUCUCGGCCCGGUCCAACUAGAGAGGCUUCGGAAUCUCAGCCCCCCAGCCCCCCCCGGGGUCUUCUCUCGGACCGGGCCACUCUCCAUGAGGCCACGAAAAAGGGCCGGCGAAAGCCGGCCCUUUU